rnacentral:lncRNA from 1 species
CCCGAGACAGAGCAUAAGUUCGUUUUGCUCUGUUCGAUGUUGGAAUGAAAUAUGGAUCGUCAUGAUAUUUGAAGUGAGCUGCGGUCGGAUCUUUUCCAACUGUGCUUGCGAGAGCCUAAAAUACGAACAGAAAAAGAGCGAUGUUUGACGGUACUGAAAUUCAAUAAAUACAGGAAUACAUAACAUAUUUCAUUUCUUCGCUAUAUAAGAUGGACAAUUUUCUUGGAUAUACAUAUAAUGAUAAUUAUCGAACGAUUACCACAGACGGAUUUAUAUCCUGCAAUCUGAAUUCUAAGUAUAAAGAUAUUAGGAACUUC